rnacentral:rRNA from 1 species
AGGGUUCGAUUAUGGCUCAGGAUGAACGCUGGCGGCGUGCCUAAUACAUGCAAGUCGAACGCUUUGUAAAGGAGCUUGCUUCUUUACAGGGAGUGGCGAACGGGUGAGUAAUACAUAAGCAAUCUGCCCAUCGGCCUGGGAUAACAGUUGGAAACGACUGCUAAUACCGGAUAGGUGAUGAAGAGGCAUCUCUUGAUCAUUAAAGUUGGGAUACAACACGGAUGGAUGAGCUUAUGGCGUAUUAGCUAGUAGGUGAGGUAACGGCCCACCUAGGCGAUGAUACGUAGCCGACCUGAGAGGGUGACCGGCCACAUUGGGACUGAGACACGGCCCAA